rnacentral:ncRNA from 2 species
AUAUAUAAUGGAGGCUUGCCCGGCUGGUGUCUUGAGCGAAAGCGAAAGACAUAAUAGCCGGGGAUACGAGGAAAGGGCGGCUUCUCUGUCUACACAACAUGAGAACAAUCGGACUGUAGGCAUUCUCAAAUGUCUGCUAGUAUCUGCGGGAGCCCUUCGGUAGUACUCUCUACCGUCAACAGGAAUCGGAUCAACCUUUGGGGUAACUCAAAGACUAAAUGGUUCUCUGACAGAGU